CACCGAGUUGCCCAGGGCACCACAGUUAUAGAAGCACUCAUUCUUAGAGUCAAGGGGCAGAAUAAUUCAUGGAGAUAUUAACUUGUAUUUUCUCCUUGCAGGCUCGUCAUUAGCUUCCAGUUAGAAAGAUCCUAUCAUCCUCUUAACCAUCUAUAAGAGCUGGAAUGCCUUGACUUUCCCAAGAGAGGAGACAGGGAGAACAGGAACCUCCAUCACCCUAGGGCUAUUUGGCAAUCUUCCCUCUUCUUCCUUCAACACCCUUUUUGAGGGAUCGUUCAUUCUCUCAAGGCUCAAAAGGCUAAUAAUGAUUGCUGUGGAAAAAUACGUCUUUCCCAAAAGUGCCUGUGGAUUUACAGAUCAUCUUGAAGACAAGCAAAAAUACGUGG